AUGUCAAAGAUGAAGUGGGAUAGUGGCAACAACCAGGAGAGGAGGAAGAAGGAUUCCUACUUCACAUGUGGGAUGGGUGCCACCAGGACACAUCCCUGCAGUUCCAGUCCCAGCACCCUCUCCGGGAUGACAUUUGGACUAGGCAGGGAAAUCUUCUUGUCUGCUACACCAGUACCUGACAAUCAAGAUUUAAUCUUUCUGGAGAGGAAGAACGCAUCAGAUGUGAAAAAAAAAAAAAUUCAGAUAUCUGUGAAAUUGCAGAAAAGCCAAGCAGGAGGAGCCUGUGGGAAAUCUCCAGCCCAGCCUGAAGCAGCACAGCAACUGUGCAAGCCCCAACCAUCGCCGGACAGAUGUUGGUCUAAUUACAGCUAAAACCUCUGGUGCUGGGGAUGCUCUGCUCCCUGUACCCCAAGUGUAUCAUUGCAGCCAGGCAGCCUCUCUAAUCCCCAGUUUAAAUCCCUUUGGCUGCUGCCUUCAGUGCUUGGAAGAGGUGCUGGAUGGCAGAAAACCAUUGGCACAUCCUCCUUGGUCAUCCCUGCGGUUCUGAGCUCUUCCAUCCUAGCAGGAGCACUAUUUCCCCUGUAAUUUUCCUUGUUUCUCACUGAGAGCUGCCAGGGAUCAGAGAUUUAUAAACUGUGUGUUUCAAGAAUUUGGAAAUUAAUUUCUCUGUACCUGCGGUGUUGUGACCAGGGCUGGGCACCAACACAGAGCUGCUGCUUAUCCCCACCUCCUUGGGCCUUGCUCCACCUCAUCCCCUCCUUCCUCUCCAUCACAUUUGAUGUCACCUCUUCAGACUGAAAGCUUAAUCCAGAUUUAGAAAGGGAAGGAAAAAGGCAGGGACAGGAUUGUUUCAGUGAGCACAAAUCUCCUGGGAAUUUACCCAGGACUUUCCCAGCUGCAAAGCUGGUGGCUGCUGCACGGUGACAGCAGUGGUGGCAUUGCCAGAGCCUGUGUGCUGCUGUGACACAUCAG
rnacentral:lncRNA from 1 species